UACGCAGUUGGCAUUAACACCGGUCAUCGAGACAAAUUACUGAUGUGAAAACAAAUCGUACAUCGUAGAGGAUUAAAUAAACAAUUACAUCUGAUUAAAGAUUAAAGAUUGCUGCCGAUUUAAAUCAAUUUGAGUACUUUUUGCGUAUAUUUGAUGCCGAAUGGGAAGCUGUGUUUAGACUUAAGUUGAGAAAAAUGGCAACGAGAUACUUGCCUGUUGGUAGCUAAAGAAACUUCAGCGUACAGUUUAUAAUGGGUGGCCAUUCCCCGCUGUAGUCUACGGGCGGGUAGUGAACUGGUUGAGAAAAGUGGAAGCUUGUGGAAAAGCGGUUUGAGAAGUUUGUAAGAAAACCCUGAAUUAUCAGUCUUGUGGGAAGAAGGCAUUGCGUCUCCACGCAGAGGGCCCUUAUCACAUAAAGAAUAUAAGAACCAUCAAGACCAACCAGGUUUUAUCUGGUUCUUCAAAAGCAACACCUGCAGUCGAGUCCAUGCCAGACAGAGGGUGCAUGUGAAUGAAUUGCCUUUUGACUAACUUUGUGUUCUUUAUCAAAUACAUGAAGAUUUUUAAA